rnacentral:rRNA from 1 species
UGAACUUAAGCAUAUCAAUAAGCGGAGGAAAAGAAACUAACAAGGAUUCCCCUAGUAACGGCGAGUGAAGCGGGAAGAGCUCAAAUUUGAAAUCUGGUGGCCUCAGGUCAUCCGAGUUGUAAUCUAUAGAAGUGUUUUCCGUGCUGGCUCAUGUACAAGUCCCUUGGAACAGGGCGUCAUAGAGGGUGAGAAUCCCGUCCUUGACAUGAACUACCAGUGCUCUGUGAUACAUUUUCAACGAGUCGAGUUGUUUGGGAAUGCAGCUCAAAAUGGGUGGUAAAUUCCAUCUAAAGCUAAAUAUUGGCGAGAGACCGAUAGCGAACAAGUACCGUGAGGGAAAGAUGAAAAGCACUUUGGAAAGAGAGUUAAACAGUAUGUGAAAUUGUUGAAAGGGAAACGAUUGAAGUCAGUCGUGCUCUUUGGAUUCAGCCGGUUCUGCCGGUGUACUUCCUUUGAGUGGGGUCAACAUCAGUUUUGAUCGCUGGAUAAAGGCUGGAGGAACGUAGUACCCUCGGGUAAACUUAUAGCCUCCUGUCACAUACAGUGGUUGGGACUGAGGAACGCAGCACGCCUUUAUGGCCGGGAUUCGUCCACGU